GAAAUCACACGAUCAGCACACAAGGUAGUGGGCCCGGACCAUGCUACGUUAAGUGACCAGAAUUAAUGGUGGUGCCUGCUCUAUUCCUGGCCAUGAGUGAAGAGCAUUCUGUAGCUUUACUCCUGCAAAAGCCUGUGUGAUUUAGACCUUUCUGUGCUCUCCCGAUGACCUUCUGUCUCCAAUUUCCUUUGCUUCUCAAGUCCUUCCUACUGAACCCCACUUCCCAGCCCUCCCCCUACAGAGCUGACAGGUUCACUUCCCAGAGCGUCCUUGCAGCUGUCUGUCCCAGAGAUGGGCUUCCAAGCCACUGUCCACCCCCAGUAGCAGGUGUAGGCCCAUUCGGCAGGGGCCUGGUGGUUUUGAGAGCAGAAAUUAAGACUUGAAGCUGCAGGCAGGCACUACUGCACUUGAAGCGGAUGUAUUCUAUAGCUGACAUAUUCUAUCCCCAAAGUGUCCCCUUUGGCUGAGCAAAAACACACCCCUGUAGGGACCCAGCGCUGCCACGGAGGAACAAAGGCUUCUCAGUUCUCUGAGCCCCAGAGUCUGCCUACAGUUUCAACACACAUGGCUCACUUGGGAGAGGACAUGGCCAUGUGACUCCUAAGCUUGGAGACAAGGUCACCUUUGUCCAGCCUUUCUCCCCUGCACCGGAAAGGCCUUCGAUUGCAGGACAAAAGGAUGAGACCGGAGCCACCCUGGUGAUGGAUUAGGGGCUGUGGGGAUUUGUAACACACCAGGUCAAGAUAUCCUCUAUGAUGGAGGGACAGCAGUUCUCGGAAGACAGAGGGAAGUUCAGAAAGAGAAACACUCUGGCAGAAAUGGGCUUUCAUGGUGUGGUCACAAGGGCGGACGCAGUGUCCCCACUGGGACAGAUUCUGGAGACGCCUCUGCGAUGCCUGCUGUGCUGCACACAUGUCCUCAAAUGUGUGCCACUCCUCUGUCCUGGGACACAUCUGGGGUUGGAAGUCUCUGCAGCUGAGUAGUCAACAACCCUGUCCCGUCGGUAGACAAAGUGGUCUACAGCUCGAGCAGAUGGCUGUGAGGACGAUUGCUUCCAGGACUGACUGUAGUAAAAGUUCCUAAGUGGAUGAAGUGGCAGUCAGAUGUGGUGGGCACGUCUCAGGGGAAGCUGAUACGGGAAGUCUGGGUCUGGGCUCAGGAUCUUGCCUUUUGACCAGGGAUCCUUGACAGCACUGCGGCGAACUGUUCACAUCUCAGGUGGUGGUGGAAUUCUUUGGCUGACCUGGCCUGUUCCCCAGAAAAUCUGGCUGAGGUGAGACUCAACCAACCCCUGAGAACCUGGAACUGGGACUCAAAGGAGCCACAGGCCGUGGGGGAAAAUGUACCUUGGCAGUCCGUAUGCUUGCUUGGUAGGUUUCACUGCUUCUGGGAAACCUUUGCCCUAUCUUGAACCUUUCUGUAAUUCUCUCACCCACCUCUGCAGCUCAACACUGUCCUGGCAGCUUUUUGGGACCACCUUCUACACUCACCCCAAGGAUAUCAGGAUGUCAAUAUGGAAGGGACUCUUCAGAGCAGAGUCAUCUGUCAGGUGGCCGAUAGCUUUGCCUUGAUGGCCCACACUGACAUCACUGGAACUGGUCCUCACGGAACUCAAAGUUUUGUGAUACCCGUGACUUACACGUUCCUUGUCAGAGCAGCCCUUCCUCCCACCCACACACCAAGGUCAGACACCUUUGUUCUUAACCCCUAGGUGUAUUCUAGAAUAAAAGUGACAGCUACUAUUUGACUUAUGACAUCAGCAAUUUGAUGCACUGCACCUGCCUGUUAGACAGGAAAGAGGCACAGAAGCCCCACGGUGAGUGGGGUUUGAAUGUAACCUGAGCACUCAGGUCCAAGCUCGUGCCUGACCUAUGGGCUUGACCAGCCUUUCUUCCACGGUGCUGGUUUGAGGCAUCCCCAGGCCCCCACAUCCCUUGCCGGAACCUCUGUACCUCCCGUGCUUCUCGAUGAUCUGCUCGCCGUUGGUCUCCCCCGCCCAAUCUGAGUUUUCAGAUGUUAGCCCUCACUGGAACCCUUCAAAGUCCUGCUUUACUCUUCCUGGCCUCAAGCUGAAAGGCAGAAGAAUCAGAACCCUGGCCGGCUAGCUACAGGUCUAUACCCCAACUACCAACCCACUCUGCCACUCUUUUCCUUGUUGGCACAGAAGGGACCACGGUAAAGCACUGCUUUCUUAAGGAGAGGGUUGGAAAGGGCUUGAACCCAAGAGUUUGAGGCCAACUUGGGCAGCAGAUCAGAGGAAGACCUCAUCUCAAAAAACCAAACAAGACAAGACAAAACACCAACCAACAGCAGAGAGAAUGGGGACAGGGAUGUAAGGCGAUGCUGGAGGCCGGCUUAGUUCUUCCUGGGAUAAUUGCACUGUUUCCCCGUCAGGCCUGCCUUCUGGGGUGGUGGCUGUUUUGAGCUUGGGAAGUGGAAGCUGGGUACCAACCACAGCGAUUAGACCAAGCUGCCCUACUACAUGGGUAGUUGUCCUGGAGGCCGGGUCAGAACUUGCCGGCCCUGCCUCAACUGUGGUCAAGCAAUGCCGAGACCCAGAGCCACCAGGAGAAAGAUGGCCAAUGCGAGGCCUGGUGCCUGGGAGGAUGGAGUCCCAGCACUCCCUGCUUUCCUGUGGGACCCAACUCUUGGACUACCCUGGAGAAAUGACAGCCUAGGCCCCACCACUGUUUCUACAACAAUGAGAAUAUUUAUUUUCUUCAAACAGUAAAAAUAACAUUUUUCUCUCUUUUGUAAAAGUACCGUCACAUUCCAUUUUCUUAAAUAACAAAAUCCUAAAAAUAUAUAUUAAAUUGUAUACAGUGUGUCACACUUCAUCUGAUAUUUUAAAAUACAUGAUGUUUCUAUUUUAUUCUCAAAGUUGUAUAUUAAGAGCAUAUUUACAAAUAAAGCCUUGUUGUCCAAAGUCACAUCACUGCUGGAGGGCGAGACUGGGAACCGGAUGGUCUUGGUGCCCCGAAUGUGGUGGAGAUGGCAGCUCCCUGUGCUGGCGAGAAAGGACCCCUCCCAUAUACACCUUCGGACACUUCCCUCUGACGUGAGAGACUGCCCUCCCACUUGUCCGCCCUGCCCCACUCAGCCUUGGCCAGUGUGUCAGCUCCAGCUUGGCAUGACAGGAGCCUGUGUGAGGCCCCCAGGUUCUGCUGGCAGACCCGGGUGGGGGUGCAGCCGGCAGGUCUGACAAGUCCCCCACCCUCAGCCAGAGCAGCUAGGUGGAGAGUGACCCGGAGGUAGAAGAGGACAGUAAACAAAGACACAAAGGGACCAACCAGAGGUUAACAGUUCCCAGGGCGGCACCCAAAGCAGACCUCAACCCCCAAAUAGGAGAUUCCAAAUGCAGAGAGCCGGGUAACCAUGGGGAAGCCUGUGGAGUGAGAUGGCCUGGGAGAGCCGCGUGUCCCCUGCAGAGGGGCUGACAGUCUGGGAGGCCAUCUACUUGUAAGUGCUCUUGAAGGUCAAGCAUGGACUGUCCUUGGCAACAGCCUGUGCAAACUCAGUGUCCCGCCAGUGGCUGAUGAGGAGCAUCAGGUGGGGUCCCGCCUGGGAUGACAGCGAGGCAUGGGGUGGCACCUGGCCCAGGCACAUCCAGGGGCUGGCCCAGAGGCCAGGACAGCUGCACCGGCCAGAGCUUUGAUCUGCGAGAGCUUUUGGCUGAGGAGUCUGAAGCGGAGCCCACACUUUGAGAAGUCCAGAGGUCUGGCCUCCUUGUUCACUUUAGGUGGCCUCAGCCCAUCCUUGCUGAGGUGGGAGAGGACGCCACAGGCUUCUUCCCUACUGCCUCUGCUUUGUAAACGGUGUGACAGGAAGGGAAGAACACAGGCACCCAUGCUUCUAGCUAAUGUCUGAGGGUCUGCGCUUCUCCCUCAGGUUCACUCCAGCUGGGUGUUUACCAGCACAAAGGCCCUCUGUGACCGGCCACCUACAGGUUCUAACAGACCGUGGAUGUCAUUUCUGGGUCUGGCCUGGGUGAUUUAUAGCCCUUCCCACUGUCCCCUGCUGCUGUUGGAGGAGCGUGGGCACAUCCACUGCCCUUCCUGGGGACACCAAUACAGGGCUCCUGGGCUGCAGCUGCCACCACACUGGGCCUUGGCUUCCUGCCUCCGAGGUAUGCAGAGGCAGGCGAGAGGUGGCCUGAGCUGAGCAUGUCCUGGCCAGUGAGCCUUCCCUGGGAAAGAGCCCACGUCCUCUCUGUACUAUGCACAUGGUGCUCUGUGACUCAACGCUUGUUCUCAGGGGAGAGCCUGCAAAUGCUGUGGAGUGGAACCUGUUCCUGUCACUCAAUUUCCAGUGGUCUUCACAGCCAGGAGCCUGCAGCCUUUCCCAGAUCAAAGUGAGAUGACGAAGCCCAGUAGCUCUGUACCCCUGCAGGCCUCCCAUAGGAGCUGGGCCAGCCUCUCAGCCCACUGUAGAGACCCAGUGUUCCUCCUCUGGUUGCCUCUCUAGCCAUCAGCUCUGGUCACUGCCUUGUCUGCACUCUGCUGCCUCUCCUUGAGGAUGCUUCCCAGAUGCUGUCCAUAUAGUCCUGGGGGCAUAGCUGGAGAUGAGAUGCCCAAACCCUACGAAAGACCUCAGUGGCAGUGGCUGAGAGACUCAGGGAAGGUGAGCUUAGUAUUCCAGGAGGACACCCAGGAGAGCAGAGGCUCAAGGGCUGGCAGGAGAGUGACCAAGGUCCACCUUCAGGGCACAGGCUGUUUUUCUCAGCUGUGCUGACAAA
rnacentral:sRNA from 1 species